rnacentral:rRNA from 1 species
UGGGGAAUCUUGGACAAUGGGCGCAAGCCUGAUCCAGCCAUGCCGCGUGGAUGAUGAAGGCCUUAGGGUUGUAAAAUCCUUUCGUGGGGGACGAUAAUGACGGUACCCCAAGAAGAAGCUCCGGCUAACUUCGUGCCAGCAGCCGCGGUAAUACAGAGGGUGCAAACGUUGCUCGGAAUUAUUGGGCGUAAAGCGCGUGUAGGCGGCUUGUUAAGUUGGUUGUGAAAACCCAUGGCUCAACCAUGGAAGUGCGUCCAAAACUGGCAAGCUAGAGUUCUGACGAGGAUGGCGGAAUUCCCAGUGUAGAGGUGAAAUUCGUAGAUAUUGGGAGGAACACCGGUGGCGAAGGCGGCCAUCUGGGAAGAUACUGACGCUGAGACGCGAAAGCGUGGGGAGCAAACAGGAUUAGAUACCCCCGUAGUCCCUGAGCGGGCUGGCAAGGCGCAU